UACGGAGGGGACUAGCGUUGUUCGGAAUUACUGGGCGUAAAGCGCACGUAGGCGGAUUUGUAAGUCAGGGGUGAAAUCCCGGGGCUCAACCUCGGAACUGCCUUUGAUACUGCAAAUCUCGAGUCCGGAAGAGGUGAGUGGAAUUCCUAGUGUAGAGGUGAAAUUCGUAGAUAUUAGGAAGAACACCAGUGGCGAAGGCGGCUCACUGGUCCGGUACUGACGCUGAGGCGCGAAAGCGUGGGGAUCAAACAGG
rnacentral:rRNA from 1 species